rnacentral:sRNA from 1 species
AUGCAGCUCAUUGCUGCAGCACAGGGCCUUCAGGGGGUGUCAAUGGAAUGUGCCAAUUUGUUGAUUAAUGGGUUGGAUGCUUACUUGAAAAAGUUGAUCAAAUCCUGUGUCGAAUUGGUAGGGGCAAGAUGUGGACGUGACUCGUCAAAGAAUAAUAGUUACAAGCACCAGUUUGAUGGGAAGCAUUUCCCAAUUUCAUUGUUAGAUUUCAAGGUGGCAAUGGAGCUUAACCCACAGCAGCUUGGGGAAGACUGGGCAUUUCUGCUGGAGAAAAUAUGUAUACAUGUAUUUGAUCAAUAACAUUUCUGGAGCAACUCUUGGUCUCUAAUAUGUGAUUGAUUUAAUUACUGACUGGUUUGAAUGGUCAUAGACGCUUGAUGACAGCUUUGCUUUGGUACUGAUGAUGCAGUAAUUCUCAUGAUAACAUAAUGCUCCAUACGAGUUCAACCAAAUCAGGAUAUUUUCUGCUUUAAGCCUAGUUCUCGAUCCCAACAACCCCAUCUAUUAGCAACCAGCCUGAAUGGUGUUGAAUGAAGAAUCUUAUGUUUGAUUGCCUUGUUGUAACUUAGCUUAGUUUUGUUCUUUCUACCUAUCUUUAGCAUUUUUUUUUUUUUUGUAAUUUACAGCAUUGAGAGUAGAAUUUUAAAUCAGUUUUGCAAGAAUAAUUUGUAAUAUGUCUAGCUCAAUAGAUAUGUAAAACGGCAUGAUGUAAAAGCUCUUGUGUAUGUAUUUUAAAACUUAAACUUUGUUGAAUUCUUGAUAUUAACAAUGCUUUCUCACAAGAUUCUUCUUUAUGUGUUUACUUCCAAAUGUUGAAUUGAGUGGCAUUUCAUUUUAAAUAGUUUCUUCUAAACAACUGUGCACUUAAAUUAUAACAUCUUUUGAAGUUUCUCCUGUUAGGAUAAGUUACUUCUUGGUUUUAAAAUGUAUGAUUGUUUCUUGUUUGAGGCAUAAGAAGCCCCGCUUUAUGCAAGAUCUCUCACACCCUUGAUUACAGACUCCCAUCUAUGCAAAGAAUAGAUUACAUUUUCGUACUAUUCAAUCUUGGUCAUAAGAUUUUCAUUUCCUUUUAUUGAUUUCUUCAAUUUGAGAACUCGUGAAGUCAAAGAUUUCAUAUUUGGUUCAUUAACAAACGCCCAAGUUUUACAAACUGCCAUACUGGUUCAAGUACAAAAAAUUACUGCAUAGGCAGUUUAAAGUGUUACUCACUAUAAACAUUUAUUUAUAAUGAGUGCUAUUGACAUAAUUCCUAUCUUUUAUUUGUCUGUACGUCCCUUGCCUUUUGAAUUUUCGGAUCGUGAUUCUUUGCAGCCUUGACCUUCUCUUGAAGUGUUAAUAUUUUUCCUUCAUAUUUAAAUCCAUUUUCUCUAUAGUCUACAAGCUUGCUAUGGAAUACACAGUUCCCACAGAGUCUUAUCUUAGAUACUGUUCUCCUAAAGUUUUGGCUCCAUGCAGAUAUGCUGUGUAGAUACUGCUGGUGAACAUACUCCUCCAAUGGAUUAUGCUGGGAAAACUAUUUACUGAAAUUACCUUUUGCAUUGGUCAUGGUUCAGCUAUUUCGUUCUUCUUAAGUAAUAAUGGGAUUAUCUAGGUCUGAGUUUUAAAAUCUAAAUGCUUUUAGUAAGUAGUUUCUUUAGCAUGCACACAUUAAAUUUUGAAAAAAUAUGAGUCCCUUGUAUGGACCAAAGUGAUUAUGAUUCUCUUCUCAUUAUUGAAGUGGUGCAUUGGCUUGGAGGCCCAAACAUUGACAUCUCAAUCACUAUAAAAACAAAUUGUAAUGAUCUUUGUGUUGUUAGAUGGUAGUAACUAUCUCUUUCAUCAACAUUUAUUUUGAUGUUAGACUGAUCUAUAUGCUAUGAAAUUAUGACGGCAAAUGUAAAACUUGAGAGUUGUUGGGAGACUUCUACAGGUGUUUUGUUAGCACAUGAUAAUCACCUAAAAUUUUAGAUGGUAGUAAAUAUCUCUUUCAUUAACAUUAUUUUGAUGUUAGACUGAUCUAUAUGCCAUGAAAUUAUGACGGCAAAUUUAAAACUUGAGAGUUGUUGGGAGACUUUUACAGGUGUUUUGUUAGCACAUGAUAAUCACCUAACAUUUCUGCUGGGGCGAAGACCACUAUUUUAGUAUUUUUUUGGUAUUUUAAAUUCACUUCCCUUUUUUCUUGAUGAGAUAAAUUGAAACAUUUAUUUAAGAACUAGUUAAAAUAGAUAUGGGAUGCCAUAAUUUGGACGAUUUUGUUUCUCAGUCAAAAGUUAGAUAGAAAAUGAAUUUUGAAUUUUGAAAUGGGAAGUUUCCAUGUAUGUUUCCUGUGGAUGUGCUCUUAUCAAAGCUUGGAAAAUUUCUUCAUAAUGAACUAGUGUUAGGUAUUAAUUAACUCGGCAUAGCCGGCUGAUUUGGGAUUGUCUUUUGUUGAAUUUUUAAUAAUCCAAAAUAAAAUAUUAGUUUAUUAUGCAAUUGAUUUCUAUGUCUAUCUGUCCCUCACCCUUCUUUGACUGAAUUAUCACAUGUAUGAAAAUCCAUGGACAUCUUUAAUAUUCAGUGCUUGUAUCCUUGUUAAGGUCUCUAAGAAGUCAAGCUUAAGCUGGUGAAUUGAAUAACUGGGAGCCAAGGGUAGUUGGUAAAAAUAUCCCCUUUAGGUGAAGAAAAUGGAAGUACAAUUUUGAUUUUGACUGUGGCACGUGGUCAUCAUUAUAAAAUAUUUUGGUGAAUUUAUAUUUUGGAUUAUCAUUAAGUGAAUUAGAAUGCUUAAAUAUACUUGAGUUUCCUAGGUAGAUGGGAUUCUUGUUGACUUCUAGAUUAAGGAAAUGAACACGACUGUAGCAGUCUUGCUGGGUUCAUUUGGACCCAUUGUCUUACCAGCUAUAUUGGAUUUAUUGUGAUACAUAGGAACAAUCCCGUUGGACUUGCAAACCAUGCUGUCUUAUGUAUGAUAUUUCUUUCAAGCAUUGCACAUACCAAAACUUGUGAUUUAUCUCCUGGAAAUUUUAAAAUAUGCAGUGCUCUCCAGAUUUAACAGCAGAUUUACAGAAUGUGUUCUAUUUUUGAACUGUCAAUGAUCAUUAUUUUCAUUGUCUGCCAACGAUUUUAGUAUAACUAGCAAAGUAUGGUAAUUAAUUUUUUCAAUUCCUUUGCUGCAUGUAUAUUAAAUUAUGAUCACAUUCUUUCCCUUUAUAAUGUUAUUGUCCACUAAUCAAUUGCAAGCUUUUGCUGUAAGUACACUAUUAAUGAGGAAAACUGCUCACUGAUAAGCUAGUUCCAAAUUAGUUAACUGUGGAUAUCUACAAAAAUUAUUAUUAUAAUAUUUACAAACAACUUUGUGAUUCGGUGGCAUUUUUGUUUUUCACUCAAUAAAGGUGCACCUGAUACAUGUUUCACAUUACACUGAUCUGGGGACACUUGCAAUAACUAUGUACCAUUCCACUGCAAUGUUGGCAAUUUGGUUGUAAAAAGAGGAUGCCAUGUUAUGUCGCAGGACAAUAGCAACGUAUUAUUGUAAUUAUAAUUAUUACUAUCAUUAUAGCAUGAAACUUUGAGUGAUGUUGUCUUAAGCAUGAUUUGCAGAGAAGGAUGAGGCUGAAUUAUGGUUAGACCACAGAAAAAACCUCCAGAAAGGCCUUUGCUUGCGCUUUGGAGGGUGA